AGCGAACGCUGGCGGCAGGCCUAACACAUGCAAGUCGAACGAACCUUUCGGGGUUAGUGGCGGACGGGUGAGUAACACGUGGGAACGUGCCUUUAGGUUCGGAAUAACUCAGGGAAACAUGUGCUAAUACCGAAUGUGCCCUUCGGGGGGAAGAUUAAUCGCCUUUAGAGCGGCCCGCGUCUGAUUAGCUUGUUGGUUGAGGUAAUGGCUCACCAAGGCGACGAUCAGUAGCUGGUCUGAGAGGAUGAUCAGCCACAUUGGGACUGAGACACGGCCCAAACUCCUACGGGAGGCAGCAGUGGGGAAUCUUGCGCAAUGGGCGAAAGCCUGACGCAGCCAUGCCGCGUGAAUGAUGAAGGUCUUAGGAUUGUAAAAUUCUUUCACCGGGGACGAUAAUGACGGUACCCGGAGAAGAAGCCCCGGCUAACUUCGUG
rnacentral:rRNA from 1 species